UACGGAGGGUGCGAGCGUUGUCCGGAAUCACUGGGCGUAAAGGGCGCGUAGGCGGCCUGAUAAGUAGGGGGUGAAAUCCUGCGGCUUAACCGCAGGGCUGCCUUCUAAACUGUCGGGCUAGAGCACGGUAGAGGCAGAUGGAAUUCCCGGUGUAGCGGUGGAAUGCGUAGAGAUCGGGAAGAACAUCAGUGGCGAAGGCGGUCUGCUGGGCCGUUGCUGACGCUGAGGCGCGACAGCGUGGGGAGCAAACGGG
rnacentral:rRNA from 1 species